rnacentral:snRNA from 1 species
CUAAAAACAAUUCAAUUGAAUGG